GGUUCAGUGGCUGAGUGGUUUAGGCAUCCGACCAGCAAUCUGGAGACCCAGGUUUGAUUCCUGGCUGAACCA
rnacentral:tRNA from 1 species